rnacentral:rRNA from 1 species
CGUAGCGCUAGCACAUUAUUUUUUUAUACACGUCAUCCCCCCCCUACCGAUUAUCUCUGAGGGGUCUUGGUGUGUGUGAGAGACACCCGCCCCGGGGGCUAUGUCGUUCAAAUUGGUACGGAGGAUUUGGGUUAACUCCGCAACCAACCUAUCUUUGUCCUUAGUGGUCUCCAAGACCCUUCUAAGGAGCUUCCGGUGACAAACUAGAAGGAGUGGGGAUGACGUCAGUCUCAUGACUAUGGGUAGCUCACACGUCAUACAUGUCCUUCGUAUCGCACCCGCGAGAUGAGACGAUCCUCAGACGUCACUAUCCGAUUGCAGUCUGCACUCGACUGCAUGAAGCUGAAUCGCUAGUAAUCGCUGAUCAG